rnacentral:autocatalytically_spliced_intron from 2 species
UAAAGGUAUAGUCAGUUCCAUUGGUAACAAUG